AUAAAUAAAGUGAGGCGGAGGCUCUGAGUGCGGCCGCCAUGUUCUCUGUGUGUCUUUGUCUUUUGUGUGUUCUUUCAUUCUCCACCACCCCCGGCACGGACCCCAACAAGUGGCGCAGCCAGCAGGGUCAGCACGGGUGAGUAGGGGAGAACAAGAAGGGGAACCCCCUAGGAGCAGGGAGCGGACCUGAGUGGUUUCCUACAAGAUGAUUGAAACCCUGUUGAAAAGAAAACUGGAUUCAGCAUGCAUUUCUUCCUUUGUUGGAUGUGCCUCGGCGGGGGACUUAUUUCCCUUAGUGAGGCUUUGUAUGAAUAUUGCACUUAUAUUCCCUUUCCACCCUUGUAUCAGGGAGUCGCCUGGGGAGAGGCGGAAAUUAAGGUUUUCACCAAUGACACUACUUGAAUGCCGUCCCCCUAUAUAGACAAGGACAAUAUAGAACGGGAAACGGAAAUUAUAAACAACACAUACCAAUUUGGAGUGGAAGAACUUCCAAUAUGCAUGGGAAAUAGUUCUCAUUGUCUCCGAAAAUCGUAUGAAGCCUGGGUUGUUCACUAUAAUCAUAGUUAUGUGGCUGCUAAUACUGUUAUUAUAAUCAUACUGUAUAUAGUAAUGAAACUAUUCCUAGUUCUUUACCUUUUUGUCCUAUUCCAGAGGUUUCUCCUAAUAUUGAGGUGCUGGAGUGGCAACUAUGUCGGGGAAAUAAAACCCGGAUUUUUUU